CUUGCAACUUGCAGCUUCCUCACUACUGCAUAUCAUACCAUCAAGAACAGUUCAUAUACACCAUCAAGAACAGCUUCCUCCCUUGUACAUGGUUCGCAUUGCCAUGUCUAGCUCAAGCGCUCCCAUGUCAAGCUCCAGCUCCCCCUUGUUUCUCUAGCUCCCCCCUUGUUUCUCUUGAGGAGCAGCCACCACUUCCACUCAUGAUUUGCCCUUCCUGCAACAAUGGGAUGGUUCAGUGGUGGGUCUCUCGCACCACAAACAAUCCAGGCAAGCACUUUUACAAGUGCGAGCACAAAUGAACUCGCAAGUGCAACUUUUGGAAAUGGGAGGAGAACAACAUAAACGUCGUACGUGCCAAGUGGCCGAGGCUGUUCACCGUCUCGGCCCGCGAAGACACGAAAUUCCACCGCAUCAUCAUCGCUCUCCUCCUAGUCAAUUUGCUCGCUCUGUUCUUCGUAUGCUGCAAGGUCGCUUGGAGCCGCCAUGACCUCUCCCGACUCGUGCCUGUCCUUCAAGUUCAAGCCGCUUACCAAUGAAUAAAUAUGUUUAUCUGUAUUGUCUAUAACUAGUUGUCAUCCACCAGCAAAUUAUGUUUUUAUAUUUAUCCACCCUCUGAUUAGAUGUUGUAAUCAUGUAUCACAACUUGUACCCCCUUGAUAUAUUCGUGAUCGGAUGUAUGAUAUAUUUAUUUUUCAUUA